GACAGAGGGUGCAAACGUUGUUCGGAAUUACUGGGCGUAAAGCGCGUGUAGGCGGUCGGGCAAGUCGGAUGUGAAAGCCCCGGGCUCAACCCGGGAAGUGCAUUCGAUACUGCUUGGCUAGAGUACUGGAGAGGAUGGUGGAACUCUCGGUGUAGAGGUGAAAUUCGUAGAUAUCGAGAAGAACACCGGCGGCGAAGGCGGCCAUCUGGACAGAUACUGACGCUGAGACGCGAAAGCGUGGGGAGCAAACAGG
rnacentral:rRNA from 1 species